AAAGACAUGAACAUCUUGGAUGACAUGGGGGAUAAAACAAGAAGAGAGGGAACCAAAUUGCCAUUGCCAUGCAGAUCAAAUGGUUUAAGGAGACAGACUGUG